rnacentral:rRNA from 1 species
GACGAACGCUGGCGGCGUGCUUAACACAUGCAAGUCGAACGGAAAGGCCCUGCUCCUGUGGCGUGCUCGAGUGGCGAACGGGUGAGUAACCCGUGAGUAACCUGACCUCGACUUUGGGCUAAUUCUAGGACACUGGGGCCAAUACCGGAUAGGAGCUCCUGCUGCCUGGUGGGGGUUGGCAUGUUUCGGCGGUUGGGGAUGGACUCGCGGCUUAUCAGCUUGUUGGUGGGGUAGUGGCUUACCAAGGCUUUGACGGGUAGCCGGCCUGAGCGGGUGACCGGCCACAUUGGGACUGAGAUGCAGCCCAGACUCCUACGGGAGGCAGCAGUGGGGAAUAUUGCACAAUGGGCGGAAGCCUGAUGCAGCAACGCCGCGUGCGGGAUGACGGCCUUCGGGUUGUAAACCGCUUUCGCCUGUGGCGAAGCGAGAGUGACGGUAAUGGGUAAAGAAGCACCGGCUAACUACGUG